CCCUUAGAUGUCCUGGGCCGCACGCGCGCUACACUGAACAGUUCAACAAGUCUUAACCUUGGCCGAUAGGUCUGGGUAAUCUUUGAACGCUGUUCGUGAUUGGGAUAGACCUUUGCAAUUAUGGGUCUUCAACGAGGAAUUCCUAGUAAACGCAAGUCAUCAGCUUGCAUUGAUUACGUCCCUGCCCUUUGUACACACCGCCCGUCGCACCUACCGAUUGAAUGGUCCGGUGAAAUCUCGGGACGGCGGCUCGGUCGCUUGCGUCCGACUGCUGAAACUUGAUUAAACCAUAUCAUUUAGAGGAAGGUGAAGUCGUAACA
rnacentral:rRNA from 1 species